rnacentral:rRNA from 1 species
UACGUAGGGACCGAGCGUUGUCCGGAAUCAUUGGGCGUAAAGAGCGUGUAGGCGGCCACUUAAGUCCUGCGUGAAAUCUUGCGGCUCAACCGCAAGCGGUCGUGGGAAACUGGGUGGCUAGAGUGCGGGAGAGGAGAGUGGAAUUCCUGGUGUAGCGGUGAAAUGCGUAGAUAUCAGGAGGAACACCUGUGGCGAAAGCGGCUCACUGGACCAUAACUGACGCUGAGGAGCGAAAGCAUGGGGAGCGAACAGG